GCCUUUUUUCAUGUCUGGGUGGAUCAUUUCGGGAGCAAUUUUGAGUUUGUGUUUCCACACAAACUAUUUUUGUAACCUUGUUUCUUUUUAAUUUUUUUUUAAAUUUCCUUGGUUUUAAUUAAUUUUAAUGAGCUAAACAUUCCCACUCGUGCCCUUAUGUUAAGAUUAAUAACAUAUUGCAUACACUGAAAAUACCAUAGUGACCUUCUUGUCUGUUUGAAGAAUAACACCAGACAGUUCUAUGAUUGAUAACCCUAUUGGAAAUCCUUAGUAAGCUUUGUUGCAAAAAAAAAGGAAGAACUCCUAAUUACUGUGAAGAAACGAGAGGUGAACUGGUUCAGUCAUUGUAAGACAUGACUUACUGUGAAAAGUCAUUCUUGAAGGUACAGUGGAGGGAACAGGAAGAAAUGGUCAUCCAACGAAAAGUUAGCUGGACAACGUAAAAAAAAUGGACCGGCCUUGAUAUCCAGCUGUCACAACAUCCCUAUGAUAAAAGGGACAUAUGAUGGUGACAAUGGCGAUGCCCCGGAGACCUGCGUAUCAGUUUAAAGAGCAACACCGAAAGGUCUAUGAUUUAUCAUGAGUUUUAUCUUUACUAAGCUUCGAUAAGAGUCAUAUCAAACAAUGUAUCCUCAGAACAACAAUUUAAAAAACAACAAUAUAAGAUAAGAAAUGGUACAUUAUUUCAACGUUCACUUUAUUCAGAAUGUUAAAAAAAAAAAAAAAA
rnacentral:sRNA from 1 species